ACACGACUACAUUAGAUACCCCGGUAGUCCCAGCCCUAAACGAUGCGCGUUAGGUGUAUCGGUGACCACGAGUCACCGAGGUGCCGAAGGGAAACCGUGAAACGUGCCGCCUGGGAAGUACGGCCGCAAGGCUGAAACUUAAAGGAAUUGGCGGGGGAGCACAACAACGGGUGGAGCUUGCGGUUUAAUUGGAUUCAACGCCGGAAAUCUUACCGGGACCGACAGCAACAUGAAGGCCAAGCUGAAGACUUUGCCGGAUUAGCUG
rnacentral:rRNA from 1 species